rnacentral:rRNA from 1 species
AGCUCCAAUAGCGUAUAUUAAAGUUGCUGCAGUUAAAAAGCUCGUAGUUGCAUUUCCGAGGCAAGGGAUUAGUCCGACCUUUGGUGGGUAUUUAAUCCUCUUGCCUCGUCCUUGAGUGGUGCUUCUUGGUAUUAAGUUAUCGAGGAGAUAGCCGCUCAUCGUUUACUGUGAGAAAAUUAGAGUGUUCAAAGCAGGCUUAUGCCGUUGAAUAUAUUAGCAUGGGAUAAUGAAAUAGGACCUCGGUACUAUUUUGUUGGUUUGAGAACCAAGGUAAUGAUGAAUAGGGACAGUUGGGGGUAUUCGUAUUCAGUUGUCAGAGGUGAAAUUCUUAGAUUUACGGAAGACGAACUACUGCGAAAGCAUUUACCAAGGAUGUUUUCA